GCCUUCGUGGUGUAAUGGUCAGCACACUUGGCACGUAUUCGAGAGGUCCAUGUUCAAGUCCUGGUGAGGACA
rnacentral:tRNA from 1 species